rnacentral:sRNA from 1 species
CAUCGUCAAUCUGCUGCGGGCAGAUGAAAUGAAUAUGCGCGUCAAACCCGCCAGCGGUCAGAAUCUUGCCUUCGCCCGCGAUAAUCUCUGUGCCGGGGCCGAUGAUCACAUCGACACCGGGUUGCGUGUCGGGAUUGCCCGCCUUGCCGAUCUUGUGGAUGCGCCCGUCACGCAAGCCCACAUCCGCCUUGUAGAUGCCGGUGUGAUCGACGAUCAGCGCGUUGGUGAUGACCGUGUCCAUUGCCCCGUCAGCGCGGGUGACCUGACUUUGGCCCAUACCGUCGCGGAUG